AAUGAACGUUGGCGGCGUGGAUUAGGCAUGCAAGUCGAGCGCGAUACCUCCUUCGGGAGGUGGAAAGCGGCGAAAGGGAGAGGAACACGUGGAUUAUCUACCCCUGGACCCAGGAUAGCUGCGGGAAACUGCAGGUAAUACUGGAUGAUGUCUCCGGACCAAAGGUGUGAUUCCGUCCAGGGAUGAGUUCGCGUCCUAUUAGCUAGUUGGCAGGGUAACGGCCUACCAAGGCGAUGAUGGGUACCGGGUGUGAGCGCAUGGCCCGGCUCACUGGGACGGGGACGCUGCCCAGACACCUACGGGUGGCUGCAGGCGAGGAUCGUCGGCAAUGGGCGCAAGCCUGACCGAGCGACGCCGCGUGCGGGAUGAAGGCCUUCGGGUUGUAAACCGCUGUCAGAGGGGAUGAAAUGCGGGUGGGUUCUCCCAUUCGUUUGACAUAUCCUCAGAGGAAGUACGGGCUAAGUUCGUGCCAGCCGCCGCAGUAAUAC
rnacentral:rRNA from 1 species